GCGGGUGUGGCGAAAUUGGUAGACGCGCUAGACUUAGGAUCUAGUGCUUAACGGCGUGGGGGUUCGAGUCCCUCCACCCGCA
rnacentral:tRNA from 1 species